UUAAAAUUAGUAAACCCAAAUAAGCCUUGGAAUUAUUAAGUGGAGGAACACAAUCGGGUGGAAGAAUUAACAAGAAGAAAAGUGAAGAGUUGGUGAAGAAAAGAGGGGGAAGAGUGGCUGACUACAUACAAGGAGAAGAAGGCUAAGAUUCUUCUAAAAAUUUGUGAAGUAAAGUUUAGAUUUCCAUCCAAGAGGAACCGCAGGAGGAGUACAGCAACCACAGGGGAACGCAAGUCGAGCGUCUACAGCAGGUCCCUCCCAUUCACGUCAGGAAUAGAUUUUAAGUUUUUU